AUAAAAGCAGACCUGGAAAACCCCAAGGGGUGAAGUAGCUGUAGAAGAAGUUGCCUGCAGCUUAGCAGCUAUGAUUCUUUUAUCCACAAGAUCAUAAGGGGAAAACCAUACAGUCAGAUUAACAGUAAAGGGAAAUGAUGGGGAGAAAUUCUAUGGAAAGCAAACAGUGCUAUCUAUGAAGCUGUUUUCAUCAGCAUAUAUUGAACACAAGUAACGAAGGAAAAUCUACACAAAGCAUGAGGAAUUUUAGUAAAGGCAGUAUCCACCAUAAUUACCAACUAUCAUUGCAUAAUAUUAAGGAGGAGGAAGAUCAAGAGCUAUAGACAUGGAAUUUAUUCCCUUGCAAACAUCCAUAGAAUGUCAAAGAACCAUGGAGAGGAUCUUGAAGGGGAUAUUCAAAAACUGUUACAAAAACAAGGGCAGAAGCAUUCCUUUAGCCCUGGGAAAGGAGAAAAUGCUAGGAAGAGGCUCAGCCUGGCUCUUCCCUGUCUCAGUGAUGUAUAAGAGGGAGAGAAGCAUCUGCAAUGACAGCAAGUUCUGCUUGGAGGCAAUUUAGUUCCUGAGCUGGCUGCACCGGAAACAGCUGAUGGGAAACCGGCGGGAGCGAUCAAUUAACAAAUAGGAGGAAACAGCUGAGGCAAAAUUACAAGAACAGGACCUUUCCUGCAAUGGCUUUAGCUCUCUGGAACUUCAUGGCCCUUGAGGUGAGAUUUACCCUGCACCAACUUGGCUUUCCAAAGAAGCCUCAAAACUUGGCUAUGUUGAUUGAACUGAGAUCCUGAUAGGGGUGUUCCACACUGGAAGUGGUUAGUGGACUAGGAAUAGAAAGAAAAUCCCACUCCCAUCCCAUAGCAUCCUGGUUUCUUAGCUAAUGUCUGUUAAUAUUAGCAUUUAAUUUUUAAUAUUUUGUAUUUUUGUUUUUAUGAUGUAAGUCAUCCAGC